CGUGCUAGGUUAAUUGCAUUUCCUCUGUCGCCGUCUCUGGGUCAGAGUCACUCUCUCGAAUCCUCCAGUCUUCACUUCUUUUGUUCUUCAGACUCUCUCAAGUUCUCAACUCUGUCCAUCUCUCGUCACUCAUCUCUCAAAUCUUAAGUCUCUCAAAUCCUCCUUUCAACACUCGUCUCUCGCUUCUUAACUCUCAAGUUUGUUGAAUCCAAAACCCUAGCCGUGCGGUGCUGGAUGCUAAUUAAUACUUGAUUACUUGAUGCAGAUGUAUCGCAGCAAUUGAUGGAGCUUUUCUGAGAAGGCUAGCUGAAUGCUCAGUUGGGACAUAGAAUUAGGUCAGAUUACAGGCCAUCCAAUUGUUGAUUACAGGCUUAAUUCUGUGCUUAAGUCCUUUGCUUCUUAAUUUGUUGAUUACAAGCCAUCCAUUUACCAGAUCAAGGUGAAAGAAAUCAAUUUUUCCCCCAAAUUCAAGAUUCAAGAUGUGAAGAGUUAUGAUAUUGUAUUAGUUUAAUUAGUUGUGAUGUAUUAUUAUUUAUUUUAUUUUUUGUAAAUUUAUGUUUUGCAUUGUGAUGUAACAAAAAUAUUAUCUAGUUUGCAUUUUUAUUUA